GUGUCAGCAGCCGCGGUAAUACGGAGGGGGUUAGCGUUGUUCGGAAUUACUGGGCGUAAAGCGCGCGUAGGCGGAUUGGAAAGUUGGGGGUGAAAUCCCGGGGCUCAACCCCGGAACUGCCUCCAAAACUUCCAGUCUGGAGUUCGAGAGAGGUGAGUGGAAUUCCGAGUGUAGAGGUGAAAUUCGUAGAUAUUCGGAAGAACACCAGUGGCGAAGGCGGCUCACUGGCGCAUUUCUGACGCUGAGGCGCGAAAGCGUGGGGAGCAAACAGGAUUAGAUACCCUGGUAGUCCACGCCGUAACGAUGAGGGCUAGUUGUCGGGCGGCUUGCCGUUCGGUGACGCAGCUAACGCAUUAAGCCCUCCGCCUGGGGAGUACGGUCGCAAGAUUAAAACUCAAAUGAAUUGACGGGG
rnacentral:rRNA from 1 species